UUUUAGGUAGUUUAUAAAAAAUAAUAACUUUGGGAGUUGUUGAAUGAAAAGGAAAAUUUCAUCU
rnacentral:tRNA from 1 species